rnacentral:rRNA from 1 species
UACGAAGGGGAGCUAGCGUUGCUCGGAAUUACUGGGCGUAAAGGCGCGUAGGCGGCCGAUCAAGUCAGGCGUGAAAUUCCUGGGCUUAACCUGGGGGGCUGCGCUUGAGACUGAUUGGCUAGAGGAUGGAAGAGGCUCGUGGAAUUCCCAGUGUAGAGGUGAAAUUCGUAGAUAUCGGGAGGAACACCAGUGGCGAAGGCGGCGACCUGGACGGACACUGACGCUGAGACGCGAAAGCGUGGGGAGCAAACAGG